rnacentral:rRNA from 1 species
UGGAGCGGCGAACGGGUGAGUAACACGUGGGCAACCUGCCCUCAGCUCUGAGACAACUCCGGGAAACCGGGGCUAAUACCGGAUACGACUUCCGACCUCAUGGUCGUUGGUGGAAAGUUUUUCGGCUGAGGAUGGGCCCGCGGCCUAUCAGCUUGUUGGUGGGGUAAUGGCCUACCAAGGCGACGACGGGUAGCCGGCCUGAGAGGGCGACCGGCCACACUGGGACUGAGACACGGCCCAGACUCCUACGGGAGGCAGCAGUGGGGAAUAUUGCGCAAUGGGCGAAAGCCUGACGCAGCGACGCCGCGUGAGGGAUGAAGGCCUUCGGGUUGUAAACCUCUUUCAGCAGGGACGAAGCGCAAGUGACGGUACCUGCAGAAGAAGCACCGGCCAACUACGUGCCAGCAGCCGCGGUAAUACGUAGGGUGCAAGCGUUAUCCGGAUUUACUGGGUUUAAAGGGUGCGUAGGUGG